rnacentral:tRNA from 1 species
AUUUAUAUAGUUUAAUAAAAACAUUACACUUUCACUGUAAAAAUAAGGAAACCUUUAUAAAUA